GGUGCGGCCUUUGUCUCUCGCUGCAGUCAGAGCUCCAGGUCUGGUUCUUACUGCUCUUAAAGGCACAGGCUCUGUGGCCCCGUGUCCUGCAGGUAUUGGGAGAUCCACAGCUAAGACACCGGGACCUCCUGAAAGCCAAAAAUGGGACCAUUGCAGUUUAGAGAUGUGGCCAUAGAAUUCUCUCUGGAGGAGUGGCAUUGCCUGGACACUGCACAGCGGAAUUUAUAUAAGGAUGUGAUGUUAGAGAACUACAGAAACCUGAUCUUCCUUGGUAUUACUGUUUCUAAGCCAGACCUGAUCACCUGUCUGGAGCAAGGAAGAAAACCUUUGACUAUGAAGAGAAAUGAGAUGAUAGCCAAACCCUCAG
rnacentral:lncRNA from 1 species